GAUCCUGGCUCCGGAUGAACGCUAGCUACAGGCUUAACACAUGCAAGUCGAGGGGCAGUAUGGUCUUAGCUUGCUAAGGCCGAUGGCGACCGGCGCACGGGUGAGUAACACGUAUCCAACCUGCCGUCUACUCUUGGACAGCCUUCUGAAAGGAAGAUUAAUACAAGAUGGCAUCAUGAGUUCACAUGUUCACAUGAUUAAAGGUAUUCCGGUAGACGAUGGGGAUGCG
rnacentral:rRNA from 1 species